rnacentral:rRNA from 1 species
UAAGCGACUAAGCGUACACGGUGGAUGCCCUGGCAGUCAGAGGCGAUGAAGGACGUGCUAAUCUGCGAUAAGCGUCGGUAAGGUGAUAUGAACCGUUAUAACCGGCGAUUUCCGAAUGGGGAAACCCAGUGUGUUUCGACACACUAUCAUUAACUGAAUCCAUAGGUUAAUGAGGCGAACCGGGGGAACUGAAACAUCUAAGUACCCCGAGGAAAAGAAAUCAACCGAGAUUCCCCCAGUAGCGGCGAGCGAACGGGGAGCAGCCCAGAGCCUGAAUCAGUGUGUGUGUUAGUGGAAGCGUCUGGAAAGGCGCGCGAUACAGGGUGACAGCCCCGUACACAAAAAUGCACAUACUGUGAGCUCGAUGAGUAGGGCGGGACACGUGGUAUCCUGUCUGAAUAUGGGGGGACCAUCCUCCAAGGCUAAAUACUCCUGACUGACCGAUAGUGAACCAGUACCGUGAGGGAAAGGCGAAAAGAACCCCGGCGAGGGGAGUGAAAAAGAACCUGAAACCGUGUACGUACAAGCAGUGGGAGCACGCUUAGGCGUGUGACUGCGUACCUUUUGUAUAAUGGGUCAGCGACUUAUAUUCUGUAGCAAGGUUAACCGAAUAGGGGAGCCGAAGGGAAACCGAGUCUUAACUGGGCGUUAAGUUGCAGGGUAUAGACCCGAAACCCGGUGAUCUAGCCAUGGGCAGGUUGAAGGUUGGGUAACACUAACUGGAGGACCGAACCGACUAAUGUUGAAAAAUUAGCGGAUGACUUGUGGCUGGGGGUGAAAGGCCAAUCAAACCGGGAGAUAGCUGGUUCUCCCCGAAAGCUAUUUAGGUAGCGCCUCGUGAAUUCAUCUCCGGGGGUAGAGCACUGUUUCGGCAAGGGGGUCAUCCCGACUUACCAACCCGAUGCAAACUGCGAAUACCGGAGAAUGUUAUCACGGGAGACACACGGCGGGUGCUAACGUCCGUCGUGAAGAGGGAAACAACCCAGACCGCCAGCUAAGGUCCCAAAGUCAUGGUUAAGUGGGAAACGAUGUGGGAAGGCCCAGACAGCCAGGAUGUUGGCUUAGAAGCAGCCAUCAUUUAAAGAAAGCGUAAUAGCUCACUGGUCGAGUCGGCCUGCGCGGAAGAUGUAACGGGGCUAAACCAUGCACCGAAGCUGCGGCAGCGACGCUUAUGCGUUGUUGGGUAGGGGAGCGUUCUGUAAGCCUGUGAAGGUGUGCUGUGAGGCAUGCUGGAGGUAUCAGAAGUGCGAAUGCUGACAUAAGUAACGAUAAAGCGGGUGAAAAGCCCGCUCGCCGGAAGACCAAGGGUUCCUGUCCAACGUUAAUCGGGGCAGGGUGAGUCGACCCCUAAGGCGAGGCCGAAAGGCGUAGUCGAUGGGAAACAGGUUAAUAUUCCUGUACUUGGUGUUACUGCGAAGGGGGGACGGAGAAGGCUAUGUUGGCCGGGCGACGGUUGUCCCGGUUUAAGCGUGUAGGCUGGUUUUCCAGGCAAAUCCGGAAAAUCAAGGCUGAGGCGUGAUGACGAGGCACUACGGUGCUGAAGCAACAAAUGCCCUGCUUCCAGGAAAAGCCUCUAAGCAUCAGGUAACAUCAAAUCGUACCCCAAACCGACACAGGUGGUCAGGUAGAGAAUACCAAGGCGCUUGAGAGAACUCGGGUGAAGGAACUAGGCAAAAUGGUGCCGUAACUUCGGGAGAAGGCACGCUGAUAUGUAGGUGAAGUCCCUCGCGGAUGGAGCUGAAAUCAGUCGAAGAUACCAGCUGGCUGCAACUGUUUAUUAAAAACACAGCACUGUGCAAACACGAAAGUGGACGUAUACGGUGUGACGCCUGCCCGGUGCCGGAAGGUUAAUUGAUGGGGUCAGCGCAAGCGAAGCUCUUGAUCGAAGCCCCGGUAAACGGCGGCCGUAACUAUAACGGUCCUAAGGUAGCGAAAUUCCUUGUCGGGUAAGUUCCGACCUGCACGAAUGGCGUAAUGAUGGCCAGGCUGUCUCCACCCGAGACUCAGUGAAAUUGAACUCGCUGUGAAGAUGCAGUGUACCCGCGGCAAGACGGAAAGACCCCGUGAACCUUUACUAUAGCUUGACACUGAACAUUGAGCCUUGAUGUGUAGGAUAGGUGGGAGGCUUAGAAGUGUGGACGCCAGUCUGCAUGGAGCCGACCUUGAAAUACCACCCUUUAAUGUUUGAUGUUCUAACGUUGACCCGUAAUCCGGGUUGCGGACAGUGUCUGGUGGGUAGUUUGACUGGGGCGGUCUCCUCCUAAAGAGUAACGGAGGAGCACGAAGGUUGGCUAAUCCUGGUCGGACAUCAGGAGGUUAGUGCAAUGGCAUAAGCCAGCUUGACUGCGAGCGUGACGGCGCGAGCAGGUGCGAAAGCAGGUCAUAGUGAUCCGGUGGUUCUGAAUGGAAGGGCCAUCGCUCAACGGAUAAAAGGUACUCCGGGGAUAACAGGCUGAUACCGCCCAAGAGUUCAUAUCGACGGCGGUGUUUGGCACCUCGAUGUCGGCUCAUCACAUCCUGGGGCUGAAGUAGGUCCCAAGGGUAUGGCUGUUCGCCAUUUAAAGUGGUACGCGAGCUGGGUUUAGAACGUCGUGAGACAGUUCGGUCCCUAUCUGCCGUGGGCGCUGGAGAACUGAGGGGGGCUGCUCCUAGUACGAGAGGACCGGAGUGGACGCAUCACUGGUGUUCGGGUUGUCAUGCCAAUGGCACUGCCCGGUAGCUAAAUGCGGAAGAGAUAAGUGCUGAAAGCAUCUAAGCACGAAACUUGCCCCGAGAUGAGUUCUCCCUGACUCCUUGAGAGUCCUGAAGGAACGUUGAAGACGACGACGUUGAUAGGCCGGGUGUGUAAGCGCAGCGAUGCGUUGAGCUAACCGGUACUAAUGAACCGUGAGGCUUAACCU